UUAGCUGAAACCAAAUUAGAGGUAAAUCACUGUUAAUGAUUUAAUUGAAUAUUCCUGCUGUU
rnacentral:tRNA from 1 species